GUCUCGGUGGCGCAACGGUAGCGCGUCUGACUCCAGAUCAGUAGGAGGUUGCGUGUUCGAAUCACGUCCGGGUCA
rnacentral:tRNA from 1 species